AAGAGCAAUUUAAAGGAGGUACAGCUCCUUUAAAAAAGAACACAAUCUCCCCCAGAGGAUAAGUACUCAACACACACACCUGUAGGCCCUAAAGCAGCCAUCAACAAAGAAUGCGUCAAAGCUCUCCCACAUAAAAAUAUAAAAACAUAUACGACUCCCUCACCCACAGCGGGCUAACCUAUACGAAUAGGAGAAUCAAUGCUAGAAUAAGUAACUAAGGAAACUCCUUCUAAAGCACAAACUUACAUACCACAUUAUUAACAGACCCACCAUAUACCUCAACUAUCACAAGACGAAGUAUCAAAUAUAGCUCUGUUAGGCCAACCCAGGCGUGCUCUACUAGAAAGAUUCAAACCUGUAAAAGGAACUAGGCAAACUCAAGGCCCGACUGUUUACCAAAAACACAGCCUUCAGCAAACCAAGUAUUGAAGGUGAUGCCUGCCCAGUGACACAAAGUUCAACGGCCGCGGUAUCCUAACCGUGCAAAGGUAGCGCAAUCAAUUGUCCCAUAAAUCGAGACUUGUAUGAAUGGCCAAACGAGGUCUUAACUGUCUCUUACAGGUAAUCAGUGAAAUUGAUCUCCCCGUGCAAAAGCAGGGAUAAACCCAUAAGACGAGAAGACCCUGUGGAACUUAAAAACCAGCAGCCAACCCAGACCAAACAAAAACCUACCGGGCUUACUACCUAAAACAAUCUGGCCUGCAUUUUUCGGUUGGGGCGACCUUGGAGUAAAACAAACCCUCCAAAAAUAAGACCACCCAUCUUAACUAAGACCAACCACCCUAAGUACUAAUAGUAACCAGACCCAGCACAGCUGACCAAUGAACCAAGCUACCCCAGGGAUAACAGCGCAAUCCCCCUCAAGAGCUCAUAUCGACAGGGGGGUUUAC
rnacentral:rRNA from 1 species